ACGCCCGUUCCGUUAUUUAUACACACGCACCCCAACCCCCCUCCCUCCACACCACACCCCCCUGUGUCUUAACAGACGCAGUCACUCAUACCCACCACUUGUUGCCACCCAUGAGACCAUCUGCAGUUGGUGCUGAACAAGAACAUCACCACACCAUCACCACGCGCCACCACAACACCACCCAUGGAAGUUGGAAUGAAGUUAAUGGAAGCUCCUUACCACGCGCCACCACCGCAACACCACCAUGACUCGUCUGGCCCCACCAUAGGCUUCCCACUCGGCACCGUGUUGCUUCUGAUUGUUGUGGUCAGCCUUUGUGGCGUCAUCUCCUGUUGUUACCAUUGGGAUAGGCUCCGCCACCUUCGUGGUGUAUUCACCGAUGACGAUGUUGAUCCUUCAGACCACUCACCGAAUAAACCGAAACCUGAUUGCUUGGUAAUAUAGUUCGGUUCUGCGUGGGAUAUCAGUGUUUUUGGGUGAAGCUAAACGUAACCCAUGUUUGGUAAAAGGUGCUUUGAAACCGGUUUGGGGACCGAGACUUGACAACCUGACGCGAUCUGAAACCGGUUUGGACUGAUGGAGACAAACCGAUUUGGACGCGGUUGAAACUUAGAGUGGGGUUGGUUUUGGGAUUCUGGGACACGAACCGGUUUGAAUAAUUCGGUUCGUGACUCGAUGACAAUGACUCAGUUUAGGAUUCCAAACCGAUUUUUGCGCAUCUAAUUCUGUUUUUUAACAACUACGAUUAGAGGGUUGACAUGAUGUUUUAAUUUUUUUUUUUAAAAAAAUUCAUGUUAAGGGUUAGUGGAACCUCUUAGGUCUUGACCCCUUUUAGUUCCGUCUCAAAAUCGUGGUAAACAUGGUUGUAGAAAUCGCUAGUUGCUAGUCGGUCGGUGAGGUGAGGGCUAGCGAUUAAUCGGGAUUAACUGGAGAUUAAUCGGAUAUAAUCGCAAUUAAUUGUAAUUAAUCGGAAAUUAAUCCAGAUUAUCGGCGAUUAAUCGAUGCCUAGUCAGGAUUUUUACAGCCAUGAUGAUAAACAAAACGUUAAGCUAAUAGGAUUGAUUUAGUAAAGGUAAAGGAGGUGGUGUAUUCAGCAAAAUUAUAAUAAGGGAUGCGUUUACCACAACAUUUUUUUUAUGAUGUUUUGUACUAGAUGUAUCUCACUCAUUAUUUUUUUGUAAAUCUACCCUUCUAACCUUCUACCUACGUCAUUCAUCUACUUUUACUCGAUUGCAGGAGUGGCUCAAGAGGGAGUGAAAUACAGAAAGGGCUUUGGGCCCUCACUUCCCUAGGGUACUCAAAUUCUUAAAAAAAAAUGUUAUUAUGAAAAUAAACGAGGCGUGGAUCAGAGUUUGCCGGUGAUAAUGGCUGGAGAUCAAUUUCCGAGGUUUAUAGCAAUGCCGUGUCUAUGUGAGCCACCGGCGCAAGGAAGGAUCGACGUAGGAGAGAUUCAGAUGUCACCCGUUCC